UGUUCGUCGCGUCUACUUUGAUGAGCGCUUACGAAUGCGUCUGAAGAUCAACUUGUAGUGGGUAUUUCCAGCGGCCUUGUCAGCGAGACCGGUGUUGGGAGGAGAGAGAAAGUUGCGCGACGGGAAAUUCACGAGCAUGCGAGAGUGCACGAUACGCGCUGGGUUUUGUAGUCGGCGCCGCGCCCGCAAGCCUCAUAGGACACGCAAUCUUGGCUGCUUUUGCUAACUGGGUUCCAGACAUGCACCGGUCAGCCUCCGGACAAUACUCGAAUUUACCAACACCUCUGACCAUAAUGUUUCACACGUGCCUCGUGUUGACAACAAUCAUCACCCUAACAUACUCACAACGAUCACUUGUCCUCCCGGUGAAGACCAUAGCCUUCCCGCGGAAUACCGACGGGCAGUGCUCUGUCCUGCACAGUUCUUACAGCAUUGGUGACAGAUCCACCUGUACUUUCGCCAGGACACGAGACAUCGAUCCUAACAGGAUUCCUCCUGUGUUGCCCAGAGUAGAGUGCAAAUGCCGUGGACAGCGAUGUUCGGACACCGGUGACUUCACCUGCCAAGAAACUAAAGAUACUUUUGAAGUAGCGUACCCCGGACAAACAGGAACAGUUGAACUGAAGUACGAGAACGUGACGCUGACAACGGGUUGCGUGUGUGCCACUUCCAGAAGUGUUAGGGCUCCUGGUGGGGGGAAUAGGCCGGUGAAUGUGAAGCCAGUCAACCUCCUGUAGCAUGAUGCACUUGGGGACAUGAUGUUACUGAGCCUUAAAGGAGCAUGGAGCACAUCCUCUUUUACAGCGUGAUAUGAACAUACUACCUUCGACAAAUAUGUCACGCAAAAUAUUUGAUAUGGGAAGUACUAAUCUCCUGAGCUCCCGCGGCUACUCCUGGCGUUCGAAAAGGUGGCUACCUAAGGGUCACGUGACGCAAUGUCAUACCCAACUCGCAGGUUACUCGAGUUGAAUAAAGACACACUCCGAUCCAGAGAGUCAUCUGCUAGCGAGAACGACCGGUCGAGUCGCGCGGCGAAAGACAGAAGGGGCGCACCUCCUUUCGGCAGUAAACUAUUUUCGGAGAAUUAAUCCAAAAUACAAAGCAUCCAAGACAGGCGCUCGUCUCCUAUUUCCAACAAGUCAGAAGAAAGAACAAUAUCAUUUUCAAAGGUGAUUGAUUAGGAACGUCAUGGUACGGCGAAUAAUAAUAAUAAUAAUAAUAAUAAUAAUAAUAAUAAUAAUAAUAAUAAUAAUAAUAAUAAUAAUAAUAAUAGUAAUAAUAAUAAUAAUAAUAAUAAUAAUAAUAAUAAUAAUAAUAAUAAUAAUAAUAAUAAGCAUUUAUAUUAGGAGUAGCAGAACAAGUCGGGAAACGACUUCAAUUUCUCCCCCUUUUUUUGUUACAAACAAGCAAACAAACAAACAAACAACACGGACCACUCAACUGAGCAGUUCGUGUCGUCUCCUUCCUGUAUUUUGCCCACAGCUGAAGCUGCUUCGAUGUGAAGUUCGUAUAGCGACUGCGUGUCCUGUCUGCUGUGCUCGUAUUGUUUUUUCGUUGCACUCUUGAAUCAUGAACUUGUCUCGCCACAACGAGCCCAAAGCAUCACAGUGCUUAGCUUCCCCCCCCCCCCCCGCUAAUUGUUCGUAAUUAUGGACUCUGUCGUCCCCGCAACACGGGAACCUUGUUUUUCAUUCGUUCAGAAGCGUUGAAUGACACAGAUGAGUUUGUAAUAAUCAUCUACGUGCACUGAAUUCAGUGCACAGCUCCCGCAUAUACAUUUCUCCGCAUAUACAUUUCCGGGGAACGUAAUGUGUAUGUGUACAUUGCCGUCACGCAUUUGCUCUGUAACUGCAUCGCUCAUGCACGUACAGCAUAAGCGUAUUCAGAAGAGUACUCGUCGUAUGUAACUUGAUGGCGAUGACUGUUCGAAGCGCACUCAGAUAGAAGAAAUCUGUUGAUUCGGAACUACCUGUGACCUGCUUCUCACUAUCCCAUCAAGUCCGCUGAACUGAACCAAAGGAUCUUUCCACUUGGAAGAUAUGGCCUCGUACAGAAUCCCGUGCAUUCUAAUUGUAACAUCCGUUGUCUUCUGGCCAGCACAGUCACAGCUAUCGUCACUAUUCAACGCGUUGUUUGGCGCUAACAACGAUGACACGCUAGUCGAUUGCUCGCCUAUGUCCAACACGGUGUUAUUAAGGAACCGUACCCUUUGUCCCUUUGACUACGUCGUGCACUCAGACCCACUGAGAUAUCCAAAGGAUCUGGUUGUUGCCCGAUGCCGUUGUCCAGGCUCGUCUUGCUCCGCUACUGGUCCUUUUCACUGUACCGAACUGCAGUACCCUAUAAGGGUACACUACAAUGUGAAAGGCAAAUGGGUGCCCGGCCAAAUGUCUGUCGCUGCAGGUUGUGUUUGUGCCUUGCCUUACAGUGCUCCAGCUGUCAAUGAGGGGUACAGAACUGUGAGCUACACGACAAACUUGACAGGUAACAAAUUGUGGUCUAAGUACGGCACGAAAAAGUCUAACCCGAUAUUAGCUUUGUAGAUAGGAAAAAGGGGGCAGCUUGACUUCCUGUUAGAAUUGUACGCGCAGAACAAUAAAACUGAUAC